GAAGCUUCCUAUAGGUACAUUUUUGUGUUCUUUGUAAACUGUAACUUUUAUUUUUCUUCUUGUACAGAAUAGUUAAACUUUGUUUUCAUUGUGUUGCCUCUUUUAUAUAAGGUAGUGUUCGAGUCAGCUUGCACGCAACUCGACUAUUGCAACAUCUCCCACUAGCAUAUGUGCAUCACAUGUGCCGGGUAACUAAGACUUAGAAGAAAUCAUGUAGUGUUUUUUUUCUCCUUUUUCAUUGUGGUGUUGUCUGCAUAACUGUCCAAUCGUACUCAAUUUUAAGCUUUUAGUUAUGCUUUCCAUAUGGGAUUUUUCCAUUGUGGAUUUGAUGCAUGUACGCCAGCUUGAUACUACUUUUAUAACAAUAGGAGAUUGGAUUUGAUUAUGAUUCAUUUGCUUAUAAUAUAAUUCUUGCUAUGUUUGCUUCUAGAGGAUAAAUUCAAGAAGUUCGUUUGGUGUUUGAUAAAAAAUCACAGAGAGAUAUCAAGGUAAAAACAAACUAGAGAAAGCUUUUAUUUAUUUACUGGUUAAGCCUUGAUGACUUUUAUCAAACAUGCUCAGAUAUUAAGCUAUAUUGGUGUAUUACCUAGUUUCUUGUACUAUCAAUGAAGAUAAUAAAAGCUAUUUAUUACAGUACUUCUUUGAAUAACAAACUUGCAAAUGCGAAUUAUUAUUUGGGAGCUCUAUUUUACACUCUCAUCUUUCUUCUUGUGGAUGGAUUCCUUGAGCUGUCUCUGUCCUUGACAAUUACGAGACUUGCAGUUUUCUAUAAACAAAGCGACUUGUGCUUUUACUAUAUUUUCCUUUUUUUUUUUUUUUUGGGCCUUGAAUUAACAUCCGAUAAGAUAUCUUUCUUUGACUUAUAGAGUCGUGAUGGAUUGUCAUAUGAACACUUUAAGCUAAAGAUGUAGUAGCUGCUGUCUACAAGGUCUUUGUUUUGUUUCUGGAGUUUUAUGACGAGUUUCCACGGUACUUCUACCCUUUUAAGUCUUAAACCACAUCUGAACUAUCAACAAGAAGGCAUAAUAUUCUUAGUUGCUAGCGGCUUCAUCAAUAGUUUUGUUCAUAAUCAGUUUGAAAUUGUGAUCAUCUUUGUUGCUUAUAAUUUUAACCUGAAGGAGGAGAAUGCAUCUGUUGAAACAAUUAUUGUAGGAAAGUUCCUCCAGAUGCGUGAGAGCAUUGAAUAUGGUUAUCAUUAGUAGGCAAAUGAUAAAUAAAUAACUAUUAGAGUAGCAUUUAUUCAUGGAGCACACCUCACACAAACACAAACAAACACACACCCACACAGAGAUAGAGCAUAGCCCUCUCUUUUUUCUUAAGUGAAGUAGAGCAUUCACUGAGAAACAGAAGUUCCUUAUUGCGUAUAUUGCUUUUGCCUCUUAUUUGUUUGAGUUAUGCAGCUUACUUCAUCAGCAGCUCCCUCUCUUCUGCAAAAACAAGAUAAGAUACUUAGAUUGCAAGAUAACCGGAAUAAGGGAUAUCUUUCUCUUUUUGCUUGGGGGAAGGAGCUUGUAUUCCUCUGUUGAGCUUACUGACAGUGAGUAUUUGUGGGAGGUGCAUUAGUUAAUGCAUAUAUAUGCCCUUCAGUGAUUUAUACCCAACCUUUCCAGGCAGAGUAUUUGGUUUAACCCUUUAAGUUAUAUAAAUUGAGAUGUAAAGAACUCUUACACUACAUUGAUUAUAACAAGUUAUUACACUAUAUUUCAGAUUACCAUUCUGACUUCCUAUGAAGAGUUAUAUGUUAUUGUAGGUCAAUUUAAUAUGAUUGUAUAAAAAGCCUAUACAUUGCCAGUUCACAGGAUGUAAGUUCAAAACUGAGUAGGCCUUAGCUAUCCACUUUAAUUAUAUUAUCAUGCAAUUUGUAAGGUUCUAAUGCUCUAUGCAACUUUUCUUCUGUACUACCAGUGAAAGUUACCAUGUUCUCUACGGCUAUAGCAUUCUUAGCGAUAGCUCAAAUAUACAUAAUGGUUAUACCUUGGUCCUUUCACAGUUUUCAUUGUCGCUCUCAUCGCUGCUUCUGCUGCUGCUGUCACUUCCAUCACUGCAACUUCCGUCCUUGUUCCUGUUCCUCCUGCUUCUCAUUUGAUCACGCAUCUUAUGCAUGAAAUUGCCUUCCUUUUUCUUUCCACAAGCCCCAGCAUGUGCAGCGGUUGCACUUGUGCCAUGGCAUGCACUUUGUUGAGUUUUGGUGCCAUGGCUUGCAGCAGAUUGCUGAGUUUUGGUUCCAUGGCAUGCAGCAGAUUGUUAAGUUUUGGUUCCAUGGCAUGCAGCAGUUUGUUGAGUUUUGGUGCCAUGGCAUGCAGAAGUUUGUUGAGUUUUGGUGCCGUGGCAUGUAGAUUGUUGAGUUUUGGUGCCGUGGCAGGCAGAUUGAUGAUUGUUAUUGUCAUGAUGAAACAUUUUGCCAGUCAUACCUUUCAUUUUGUCAGCGAAAGAGUGGUGCUCAUUGUUGGCCUUGUGGCAUGUCACGGUGGUGGUUUUUUGACCGACAGUGGAUGGGGCAUGUUGAGCGGGCUUGUGGCACUGAAGUGAUGCCAUUGAAUAUGACUGAAACUUACUAUUUUAAGAGUAUUAUUCACAGGGUUCAAGCUUCUUAUCACUUGCUUGCUUGAAAUUACUGGUUUUUUUUUAGCGCGAAUAUAUAGCAGUUUUUGGUGGUGGGAAUAUUUCUCCUUACUCCUUACAUCAGCCACUCUAUCAUCUUUGAAUCUUUUUUCUGGAAAUGGCCAAUUUGAUGAGCAUCUAUUCUAUUCGGUAGAUAAUUUUGUUUAUUAAUUAUUCUAUUUUCCCACUACUGGACUUUUGGCUAUAUCCACAUACAUGACACUGGAAUAACAGAAAGAAAAGUAUAGAUAAGUGACCUGUAGCCCAAGCUCUGCCCUAGUGAUUUAUGCUUGUUCAUUUUUCCCUUUAGUGAAAAUAUGAGUAUUGGUAUGAAAGGUACAACAUAAUUUCAUAUAAUGUUUUGCUAAAGUGCUUGCAAAUAGACCUCUUCAAAAUUGCUUGUGACCUUGAUUAUCCCAGAUACGGCACACAGAAUAUCUGUUGAGGUGAAAUGGUUAUUAUCUCAGUUAGAGGGUCAAAAACUUUCUAAGAUGUGUAGUUCUAUUCAAUAUUCACCUUGAUUAGAAAGUGAUGAUAUACUUAAUGCACAGGUUUCAUCGAUGUUGAUGCAAACUAUAGCAUAUCUCAUCAGAGAAAAUCUCACCUUGAACUAAUGUGAUGUCUACUAUGAUUCAAUGAUCGUGUUUUUCAUUGAUAGUGGAUGGAUUACUAUAGGUCAUUUUAUCCUUGGCUAUGUCAGUAAUGUGGGAGCUAUAGAGGCUUGUGUCUUUCUCAAAAUGAUUUUCUUAAAACUAAAACUUUUGGAAAAAAUAUUGUUUCUCACUCUCAUCAACGACAUCUAUUAAGUGCGAGUAUGUUGGAAAUUGGACUUUACAUUGAUUGAUAUGGGCAGGAAAGUAUAGUGGCUCGGCGAGAUGUUAUGAAAAUAUACAAGACCUUAUUAUUAAGUUAAUUGUGUGUGUUUGGAUAAGCGAGGCUCAGUUAGCUAUUGGUCUGUGAUGGACAGGCUUUUCUAUACAUAGAAGGUGACCUCCCUUUUCUAGUUAUAAGAAAAGAUCCUAUUCUGUCUCCCCGAAUACGUGAGUAAAUGGUUGUGAUGACUCAUCUCCGCUAGUUCUCCUAAGUUUGGCAAGAACAUGGUAGCUAGCGGUUGUGGAAGUUAGACCCUGGUUUAAUAUGUCAUUAUUGCUGGUACUGCAUCAUAGAACAUAUUUGUGUAACCCUAACAAAAGAUUAUGCUUGUGUUUUGUGUCUUAAUCUUUCUGCAGUCAUCGAUAAAAUUCUCAAGUUUGAAAUUAUAUAAAUGUCUGUUAUAGGAGCACGAGUCAGUGGAGGGAUUGUUAAUUUUAAUCUCCUUUUGUGCUAAAGACUAAAAGUUGAAGAGCACCUAUUCUAUUCUUUGAAAUAAUUUUAUUUUUAUGCGUGUAUUCUUGCUUCCUUCUAAGCAUUUGAUGACAUCCAAAAAUAUAUCAUACCAAUAAGUGCUUAAUGCACUUGACCUGUAGCUAUCCCAAGAUGUCAUAUCUGUUUCUCAAGAAAGUAAAGACAAGUUCUUGUCCUUUUGAAACUCUUGAUGUAUUUGCUUCCUCUGUUUCAGCAAAUCUAAGAAGUCUUGAGAAGUCCCAUUUCACAGACCGGCAUGGUAAAAGAUAUGUGAGUUCCACUACUGACAUCUUGCAAAUCAACAUCUUGGAAAGAAGGAUUGGAAUGUAAGUUUCUCAAAGCUGAAGAAGCAAUUCCGACCUUAUUUUCAUUUAGAGUACAAAUGAAGGUUCGAAAUUAACUACUCCUUUUUCAAGGAAUGAAUUGCAAUUGCUAUAGUACAUUUUUUUUCCAAGUGGUGCCAUUACAUUGUUCUCCAUUGAGUCGAGUGUCGUAGGUAGUAAACAUAUGUGCUGAUUUUUAGAUUUGGCUCUAUGGAAAAUUAUCUCCAUUUCGGUGCUGCUAAUCACCAGUAAUGGGUUUAUACUGUACUCUAUUUUCAUUCUCAAAACAAAGUCACCAGUUAUGGGUUUCUUUUCCUUUUUGGUAAUUAGUUGAACUUCUUGGUGUUUCUUCCCACCUCUUUGCUUCUUGACUUCUACGAAUAUGGAUAUAUCCCUUAUACUGUUAUUGUAAAUGCAGCACAAUAAGCUCUUUCAGUAUCAAGUGGAAUUGAUCUAUUUCAAUAUAUACUUUCUCUUUCUCCCUCGCUUAGUGGCUGCGCAGUUAGUUCUUUCUGUCUCUUUUCUGCAUUGCUUUUCUUUUCUUUUUUUGUCUUGCUUUUUUUGGGGGGUGGGCGAGUGGACUUUGUGAACUAAAGCAUUUCUGUUCUUACAAAAGAAAUAUCUUUCGCUGGCCUUUAAAGUCAUGAAAUAGUGUCAGCUAUCGCACAUGAUGCUACGGAUGCAUUAGCUGCUUCUCUUACAAAGCCUUUGUUUGGUUUCUGCAGAUUUAUGUCGAGUUUCCUGGAUACCUUGAGCCCUUUUAAGUCUUAAAACACAUUAACUAUCUGCAAGAAGACAGAACUUGCUUUAUUACUAAUUAAUUGCUUCUUCAAUAGCUUUGUUACCUACAGUUUAACCUGAGAAAGGAGGACAUAACUCUGCGACAUUGAUUGUACGAAAAGUUCGUCCAUAUAUAUGCUAGAAAAGGAUUUAUAUGGUUAUGUGUUACUGCGGCUGAUUUUUUCUUUCCUCUACAUUGCCGUUACUGUACUCGUUAGUAGUCCAUUUAAUUUUCCCACAAUGAGACAACUAACCAUCUUUUGUUGGUGGACAAGUUGACAUAGUGUAAAUACAUAAACCUAUUAGCAUUUAUUCAUGGAACACACUUCACACACACACAGUAAUAGAUACAGAGUCAAACAGAGAGCUCUUUCUCUUAAAUAAAGUACAGCAUUCACUGAGCAGCAGAAGUUCCUUAUUGUAUAGCUUCUGCCUCUUACUUGUCUGAGGUCUGUAGCUUACUUCAUCAGCAGUUCCCUCUCUUCUGCAAAACCAAGAUAACAUAAUUAUUAGGCUUCAGGAUAUCGUUCUCUAUUAUUGGGGAGAGGAGCAUGUACCCAAGUUUUCAAGUCAGAGCAUUUGUGUUAACCUAUUAAUACACAUUGUAGGCAUUACUUAUCCUCGUUAAUUAUCUUAUAAUGCAUAUCAUUGUUCCCUACAACCUUUAAAAUUUUUGCCCUUCUCGCAGAUAUUAACAAUGAUUAUACCGUGGUCCUUCCGCAGUUUUCAUUGUCGCUCUCAUCACUGCUGCUGCUGCUGCUGUCACUGCCAUCGCUGCAAUUUCCGUCCUUGUUCUUCCUCCUGCUUCUCAUUUGAUCACGCAUCUUAUGCAUGAAAUUCCCUUCCUUUUUCUUUCCACAAGCCCCAGCAUGUGCAGCAGUUGCACUUGUGCCGUGGCAUGCAGCAGAUUGGUGCGUUUUGGUGCCAUGGCAUGCAGCAGAUUGCUGAGUUUUGGUACCAUGGCAUGCAGAUUGGUUAGUUUUGGUGCCGUGGCAUGCAGCAGGUUGGUUAGUUUUGGUGCCAUGGCAUGCAGCAGAUUGCUGAGUUUUGGUGCCAUGGCACGCAGAUUGAUGAUUGUGAUUGUCAUGGUGAAACAUUUUGCCGGUCAUAUCUUUCAUCUUGUCAGCAUAAGAGUG
rnacentral:lncRNA from 1 species